GGCUGGUCCCUAUGGGGCUGGGGGGGGCUCAUCCUGCUGGGCGCAUGGGGAUGGCACCGGGGUCCCCGUUGGCACCGGGGUGGGGGCACGGCCGUGGGGGCUUCACCCAUGGGUUCCGCGGUGCCACCCCAGCUGCCCCUCGCCGUCCUCCUGCUGCCGUUGGGAGGAGAAGAUUUCCCCGUGGGAUGGGGCGGCAGCACCGGGACCAGCACCGGGACCAGGAUCCAGCCCUGUCCCCAUCCCCAGGUGUCCCCCCCUGCCCACCCCCAGCUGGGCUCUGUCCCCACGCAACCCCUGGCCCCGGUUCAUCCCCAUCCUUUGGGGGCUCCGUCCCCAUCCCAGGGGGCUCCAUCCCGGCUCAGCCGUGUUGGGGGGAGACUUUUAGGGGGGGUGGGGGUGAAGGAAGUGCCCCGGCCGGGAGCGGCCCCGCUCCCACCACAAAGGCAGGAAGCGGAGCAGCGGGAACGGGCGGCGAAGGCGCUCGAGCUUCAAAGCCCCCGCAGCCCCCAGCCGGGCCCCCGGCCCCUCCUCGGCUCUGUCCCUGGGGGUCCCUUUGCCCGGGGAGGGCUCGGAGCCUUGAGGGGGGGGGGGGGGGGGACUGGGUGGGAGGCGCUGCGGGGGUGUCGGGCUGGGCCCUACAAUUUUGCAGGCGGCGGCGGGAGCGAAAUGAGAGUGGCCCCGUGGGGAGGGAGGCACCGGCCCCGUUCCCGUCCCGGCUCGCCAAGGGCACGUUUGGUGGAGGCGCCGGGGUCCCCGUCCCCGUCCCCAUCCCCGUGGGGUUGUCCCGGGGGUGCUGAGCCUCGCCCAGGCUCUGCCCCUGUUUCCUGCAGCUCCUCGGGGCCGGGAAGGGAUAAUUUUAGCUGCCACGGGGCGGGUGGAGCGCUGGCACCUCCCCGCUGCGGUGGCGGCUGGAUUCGGCUAACGGCCCUGCCCGCCAGCCACCUUGGCUCGGUGGCAGCACCCGAGGGGGGUGACAGCACCCAAAAGGGUGGCAGCACCCAACAGAACGGCACCCGCAGCCAUCCGGCACCCCCGGCACCCAUCGUUUCCACCGUGGCACCUCGUUUUUCCCAGCUCAUCCUUGCCAACACCGUCACCGCGGGCCAUGUCCUUGUGCCAGCGGGUCCCCAGGUCCCUCUUGGCACCCGGGAGAGCCCCGGCCCGGCCGUGCCGGCGCCGCGGUCGGCGUGCCGGAGGCUGCGGUUUGCCGGCGCGGAAGCAGACGCAGGCAGGAAACUUGAGCUCCAUGAACCUGCCCCCGGACAAAGCCCGGCUCCUGCGGCAGUACGACAAUGAGAAGAAAUGGGACCUCAUCUGUGACCAG
rnacentral:lncRNA from 1 species